UACGAAGGGGGCUAGCGUUGUUCGGAAUUACUGGGCGUAAAGCGCACGUAGGCGGAUUUGUAAGUCAGGGGUGAAAUCCCGGGGCUCAACCUCGGAACUGCCUUUGAUACUGCAAGUCUUGAGUCCGAUAGAGGUGAGUGGAAUUCCUAGUGUAGAGGUGAAAUACGUAGAGAUUGGGAAGAACACCAGUGGCGAAGGCGGCUAUCUGGACGGUUUCUGACACUAAGACUCGAAAGCGUGGGGAGCAAACAGG
rnacentral:rRNA from 1 species